GAGUGAGUGAGAGAAUGUGUGUGUGAGAGAGAGUGGGUGACGGAGGUAUAUACUCACCCUGGGAUCUCCAUUGUUGGGCCGAGCUCCGUGGUUAAAGGCAUGUACCGGGUCCUUGUGGUACACCUUGAGACAGGCCUGGUCCGUGAUACUCCUGGGGGAGGACAAA